rfam:Helicobacter bizzozeronii CCTG 35545, WGS project CAGP01000000 data, contig: tsc_c21
UUCCUAGACCUAUGCAAUGGGGUGUUAGGACAACGCUUCAGGGUGGAAACACAGCAGAGUAGCUUGAUAUCUUGUGUGCCUUAGUCAUCUGGGGGAAG